rnacentral:rRNA from 1 species
AGGCUUUGAUCCUGGCUCAGGAUGAACGCUGGCGGCGUGCUUAACACAUGCAAGUCGAACGAAGUCUUCGGACUUAGUGGCGGACGGGUGAGUAACGCGUGAGGAUCUGCCCUUAGGUUGGGGACAACCACUGGAAACGGUGGCUAAUACCCAAUGUGCCGAGAGGUGAAAGGUUAACUGCCUGAGGAUGAACUCGCGUCUGAUUAGCUAGUUGGUGGGGUAAGGGCUCACCAAGGCGACGAUCAGUAGCUGGUCUGAGAGGAUGAUCAGCCACACUGGGACUGAGACACGGCCCAGACUCCUACGGGAGGCAGCAGUGGGGAAUUUUCCGCAAUGGGCGAAAGCCUGACGGAGCAACGCCGCGUGAGGGAGGAAGGCCCUAGGGUUGUAAACCUCUUUUCUCUGGGAAGAAGAUCUGACGGUACCAGAGGAAUAAGCCUCGGCUA